rnacentral:tRNA from 1 species
CAUUAAAUGACUGAAAAAAGUAUUGAUUUUUUAAAUCAAAUUAUAAUAGUUUAUUUACCUAUUUUUAAUGA